rnacentral:misc_RNA from 1 species
UCCAGCUUAUCACUGGCGGUCUCCUGAGAGUUGCGCCUUACGGCAUGCCAACACAGGACAAGGGUUGCGCUCGUUGCGGGACUUAACCCAACAUCUCACGACACGAGCUGACGACGGCCAUGCAGCACCUGUGUUCUGGUUCUCUUUCGAGCACUUCCACAUCUCUGCAGAAUUCCAGACAUGUCAAGGGUAGGUAAGGUUUUUCGCGUUGCAUCGAAUUAAACCACAUCAUCCACCGCUUGUGCGGGUCCCCGUCAAUUCCUUUGAGUUUCAACCUUGCGGUCGUACUCCCCAGGCGGGGUACUUCCUGCGUUAGCGCCGGCACCCAGAGGGUCGCUCCCCCAGGCACCUAGUACCCAUCGUUUACGGCGUGGACUAC